rnacentral:rRNA from 1 species
CGAUGCCGGGGGCCCUAAAACAUGCAGUCGAACGAUGUAGCAAUACAUAGUGGCGCACGGGUGAGGAACACGUGGGAAUCUCCCUUUUAGUACGGGAUAACACCGGGAAACUGGUGCUAAUACCGUAUAGUCCCUCCGGGGUAAAGAUUUAUCGCUAAAAGAUGAGCCCGCGUAAGAUUAGCUAGUUGGUGAGGUAAUGGCUCACCAAGGCUACGAUCUUUAGCUGGUCUUAGAGGACGAUCAGCCACACUGGAACUGAGACACGGUCCAGACUCCUACGGGAGGCAGCAGUGGGGAAUCUUGGACAAUGGGGGAAACCCUGAUCCAGCCAUGCCGCGUGAGUGAUGAAGGCCUUCGGGUUGUAAAGCUCUUUUGUAUGGGAAGAUAAUGACUGUACCAUAAGAAUAAGCCCCGGCUAACUUCGUGCCAGCAGCCGCGGUAAUACGAAGGGGGCUAGCGUUGUUCGGAAUUACUGGGCGUAAAGGGUGCGUAGGUGGUCGCACAAGUCAGAAGUGAAAGCCCUGGGCUCAACCCGGGAAUUGCUUUUGAAACUGUGUGGCUAGAGUUCGAGAGAGGUAAGUGGAAUAUCCAGUGUAGAGGUAAAAUUCGUAGAUAUUGGAUGGAACACCAGUGGCGAAGGCGGCUUACUG